ensembl:lncRNA
CCAGUAUGGGUAGAGUCCAGUGUGUUGGGUAGAGUCCUGUGUGUGGUAGAGUCCAGUAUGGGUAGGGUUUAGUGUGUGGGUAGAGUUUAGUGUGUGGGUAGAGUCCAGUAUGGGUAGAGUCCAGUGUGUGGGUAGAGUCCAGUGUGUGGGUAGAGUUUAGUGUGUGGGUAGAGUCCAGUGUGUGGGUAGAGUUUAGUAUGUGGGUAGAGUCCAGUGUGUGGGUAGAGUCCAGUAUGGGUAGAGUCCAGUGUGUGGGUAGAGUCCUGUAUGGGUAGAGUCCAGUGUGUGGGUAGAGUCCUGUAUGGGUAGAGUCCAGUGUGUGGGUAGUGUCCAGUGUGUGGGUAGAGUCCAGUCUGUGGGGUAGAGUUCAGUAUGGGUAGAGCCCAGUGUGUGGGUAGAGUCCAGUAUGGGUAGAGUCCAGUGUGUGGGUAGAGUCCAGUACGGGUAGAGUUUAGUGUGUGGGUAGAGUCCAGUGUGUGGAUAGAGUUUAGUGUGUGGGUAGGUUCCAGUGUGUGGGGUAGAGUCCAGUGUGUGGGUAGAGUUUAGUGUGUGGGUAGAGUCCAGUGUGUGGGGUAGAGUCCAGUGUGUUGGGUAGAGUCCAGUGUGUUGGGUAGAGUCCAGUGUGUUGGGUAGAGUCCAGUGUGUUGGGUAGAGUCCAGUGUGUGGGGUAGAGUCCAGUGUGUGGGGUAGAGUCCAGUGUGUGGGGUAGAGUCCAGUGUGUGGGGUAGAGUCCAGUGUGUGGGUAGAGUCCAGUGUGUGGGUAGAGUCCAGUGUGUGGGUAGAGUCCAGUGUGUGGGUAGAGCCCAGUGUGUGGGGUAGAGUCCAGUGUGUAGGUAGAGUCCAGUGUGUGGGUAGAGUCCAGAGUGUGGGGUAGAGUCCAGAGUGUGGGGUAGAGUCCAGAGUGUGGGGUAGAGUCCAGUGUGUGGGUAGAGUCCAGUGUGUGGGUAGAGUCCAGUGUGUUGGGUCGAGUCCAGUGUGUUGGGUCGAGUCCAGUGUGUUGGGUCGAGUCCAGUGUGCGGGUCGAGUCCAGUGUGCGGGUAGAGUCCAGUGUGCGGUUAGAGUCCAGUGUGCGGGUAGAGUCCAGUGUGCGGGUAGAGUCCAGUGUGCGGGUAGAGUCCAGUGUGCGGGUAGAGUCCAGUGUGCGGUUAGAGUCCAGUGUGCGGGUAGAGUCCAGUGUGUGGGUAUCAGUACAAGAGUUAGUGCAAAAAAGGUCAAUGCAGGUAGUCCGAGUAACCAUUUCAUUAGCUAAUUAGCAGUCUUGUUUAGCGGCCUUAUGGCUUGGGGGUAGAAGCUGUUCAGGGUCCUGCUGGUUUCAGACUUUGUGCACUGGUACCGCUUGCCAUUCAGUAGCAGAGAAAACA